CCAGACUCCUACGGGAGGCAGCAGUGAGGAAUAUUGGUCAAUGGGCGAGAGCCUGAACCAGCCAAGUAGCGUGCAGGAAGACGGCCCUAUGGGUUGUAAACUGCUUUUAUGCGGGGAUAAAGUGAGGGACGUGUCCUUCAUUGCAGGUACCGCAUGAAUAAGGACCGGCUAAUUCCGUGCCAGCAGCCGCGGUAAUACGGAAGGUCCGGGCGUUAUCCGGAUUUAUUGGGUUUAAAGGGAGCGUAGGCCGUGGAUUAAGCGUGUUGUGAAAUGCAGGUGCUCAACGUCUGCACUGCAGCGCGAACUGGUCCACUUGAGUGUGCGCAACGCAGGCGGAAUUCGUGGUGUAGCGGUGAAAUGCUUAGAUAUCACGAAGAACUCCGAUUGCGAAGGCAGCUUGCGGGAGCACAACUGACGCUGAAGCUCGAAAGUGCGGGUAUCGAACAGGAUUAGAUACCCUGGUAGUCCGCACGGUAAACGAUGGAUGCCCGUUGUCAGGCUGUUUCAGCCUGGUGACCAAGCGAAAGCAUUAAGCAUCCCACCUGGGGAGUACGCCGGCAACGGUGAAACUCAAAGGAAUUGACGGGGGCCCGCACAAG
rnacentral:rRNA from 1 species